AAUUCUUUCUUAUGAUCAUCAGAAAGUAUGUGACUUCUUUCAGAAUUUAGUAUUCUUACAAUUACUAUCUUUAAAGAACCAGAGCCACCAAAGAAAAUUGCCAGAGAAGAAAGAGUAUCCAUUGCUGUUCCAAAAAGAAAAGUAUCACCACCGCCAGAAGUACCAACAGAAGAACACUGGGCUGUGUCAGAAGAAGUAUCCAUUUCUCUUCACACAGAAAAGGAGAUUACAUACGCAGUGCCUGAUGUACCAGAGAGGGCUAUCAUUGAAGAAAGAGUACCGAUUUAUCCUCCAAAAAAAAUGGC
rnacentral:lncRNA from 1 species